rnacentral:rRNA from 1 species
GACGAACGCUGGCGGCGUGCUUAACACAUGCAAGUCGAACGGAAAGGCCCUGCUUUUGUGGGGUGCUCGAGUGGCGAACGGGUGAGUAACACGUGAGUAACCUGCCCUUGACUUUGGGAUAACUUCAGGAAACUGGGGCUAAUACCGGAUAGGAGCUCCUGCUGCAUGGUGGGGGUUGGAAAGUUUCGGCGGCUGGGGAUGGACUCGCGGCUUAUCAGCUUGUUGGUGGGGUAGUGGCUUACCAAGGCUUUGAAGGGUAGCCGGCCUGAGAGGGUGACCGGCCACAUUGGGACUGAGAUACGGCCCAGACUCCUACGGGAGGCAGCAGUGGGGAAUAUUGCACAAUGGGCGGAAGCCUGAUGCAGCAACGCCGCGUGCGGGAUGACGGCCUUCGGGUUGUAAACCGCUUUCGCCUGUGACGAAGCGUGAGUGACGGUAAUGGGUAAAGAAGCACCGGCUAACUACGUG